rnacentral:rRNA from 1 species
ACGAACGCUGGCGGCGUGCCUAAUACCUGCAAGUAGCACGCUGAAGGAGGAGCUUGCUUCUCUGGAUGAGUUGCGAACGGGUGAGUAACGCGUAGGUAACCUGCCUGGUAGCGGGGGAUAACUAUUGGAAACGAUAGCUAAUACCGCAUAAUAGUAGAUGUUGCAUGACAUUUGCUUAAAAGGUGCAAUUGCAUCACUACCAGAUGGACCUGCGUUGUAUUAGCUAGUUGGUGGGGUAACGGCUCACCAAGGCGACGAUACAUAGCCGACCUGAGAGGGUGAUCGGCCACACUGGGACUGAGACACGGCCCAGACUCCUACGGGAGGCAGCAGUAGGGAAUCUUCGGCAAUGGACGGAAGUCUGACCGAGCAACGCCGCGUGAGUGAAGAAGGUUUUCGGAUCGUAAAGCUCGGUUGUAAGAGAAGAACGAGUGUGAGAGUGGAAAGUUCACACUGUGACGGUAUCUUACCAGAAAGGGACGGCUAACUACGUG